rnacentral:rRNA from 1 species
UACGGAGGGUGCAAGCGUUAUCCGGAUUCACUGGGUUUAAAGGGUGCGUAGGUGGGUCUGUAAGUCAGUGGUGAAAUCUCCGGGCUUAACUCGGAAACUGCCGUUGAUACUAUAGAUCUUGAAUAUCGCGUAGGUAAGCGGAAUAUGUCAUGUAGCGGUGAAAUGCUUAGAUAUGACAUAGAACACCAAUUGCGAAGGCAGCUUACUUCACGAUCAUUGACACUGAGGCACGAAAGCGUGGGGAGCAAACAGG